GCGUUUUCAAACAGCGGGACUAACGGACGGACGACUUCAGAGCUACUUCGACUUCCAGUGGCAAUUUUACAAAAUAUAUCCCUCAUGGAGUCUGACCGGGACUGGUAUCUCCCGACAUUAUCUGAAGCUUAGGUCCACUAAGAUGUCCCGUUGAUUGAAGCUGACAUGGAGUCACAGUGACAUCCUUAAAAACUUUUGUCAUGUAUAAUACAUCUCUGCAUCUUAAAAUAUUUCUCUGCAUCUUUAAAUAUUUGUUUUUUUAAUUUUUUGUCUAUGUUUUAGAUUUAAGUGUUUAAGCUGUUUUCAUGA